rnacentral:rRNA from 1 species
UGAACGCUGGCGGCAGGCCUAACACAUGCAAGUCGAACGGCAGCACAAGAGAGCUUGCUCUCUGGGUGGCGAGUGGCGGACGGGUGAGGAAUGCAUCGGAAUCUGCCCAUUUGUGGGGGAUAACCUCGGGAAACCGGGACUAAUACCGCAUACGACCUACGGGUGAAAGCAGGGGAUCUUCGGACCUUGCGCAGAUGGAUGAGCCGAUGCCGGAUUAGCUAGUUGGAGGGGUAAAGGCCCACCAAGGCGACGAUCCGUAGCUGGUCUGAGAGGAUGAUCAGCCACACUGGGACUGAGACACGGCCCAGACUCCUACGGGAGGCAGCAGUGGGGAAUAUUGGACAAUGGGCGCAAGCCUGAUCCAGCCAUGCCGCGUGUGUGAAGAAGGCCUUCGGGUUGUAAAGCACUUUUGUUGGGAAAGAAAAGCAGCCGGUUAAUACCCGGUUGUCAUGACGGUACCCAAAGAAUAAGCACCGGCUAACUUCGUG